rnacentral:rRNA from 1 species
CGCCGGCGACCGGCGCACGGGUGAGUAACACGUAUGCAACCUGGCCGUGACAGAUGGAUAACCGGGAGAAAUACCCGCCUAAUACAACAUAAUGCCGGGAGGGGACAUCCCCUGCCGGUCAAAGGGGGCGACCCCGGUCACGGAUGGGCAUGCGGCGCAUUAGGUAGUUGGUGGGGCAACGGCCCACCAAGCCGACGAUGCGUAGGGGUUCUGAGAGGAAGGUCCCCCACAUUGGAACUGAGACACGGUCCAAACUCCUACGGAAGGCAGCAG